GGGUCAGUAGGUUGGUCGUGCCACCGGUACGUACUGGCCUCACUGAUUCCUCCUUCCUGAAGAACCGUAAUGCCAUUAAUUUGGUGUUGCGGGGAAACAGGACUGGUACUUUGAAAAAAUUAGAGUGUUUAGAGCAAGCUAACGCUUGAAUACAUUAGCAUGGAAUAAUGAAAUAGGACGAUCGAUCCUAUUUUGUUGGUUUCUAGGAUUGACGUA
rnacentral:rRNA from 1 species